rnacentral:rRNA from 1 species
GAUGAACGCUGGCGGCGUGCUUAACACAUGCAAGUCGACCGAAGCGGCGAACGGGUGAGUAAUACGUGGGUAUCCUGCCUCCCCUUUUGGGAUACGCCUUGGAAACGGGGUCUAAUACCGAAUAAUGGGGGAUGGGUUCGUGGUCUAUCAGCUUGCUGGUGGGGAGAUGGACUACCAAGGCGGUGACGGGUAGCCGGCCUGAGAGGUUGACCGGCCACGUUGGAACGGAGAGACGGCCCAGACUGCUACGGGAGGCAGCAUUGGAGGAUAUUUCACAAUGGGCGAAAGGCAAAUGCAGCGUCGCCGCGAGGGGGGUGAAGGCUUUCGGGUUGUAAACCUAUUUCGCUAUCAAACGGGUAGGUGGAGAAGAAGCGCCGGCUAACUACGUGCCAGCAGCCGCGGUAAUUC